rnacentral:lncRNA from 1 species
UGGCUUGAUCAUGUGGAAGCAUGUGACCAGGAAGGAUUGCAUCUGAAUAAAUUCACACGACAGCAACUGUAUUAAUCAGGUUAGUGUACUGUUAGUGUCAUGUUUGUCCAUUCUUCAUUGUGUGAUGUGAACCUCAAUUGAUAUCUGUAUUAUACUCAACUGAACAGUCAGGUGUUAAGCUCUGAAACUUGUUCAAACUUUGAGAGGGGUGUUUAUUUUUACCUAAUCAGCAAUUGUAACGGUAGCCUGAUAGGUCACUUGCUGAAAUUCUAUAGUAUGUCACUGUUAAAGGUCACAAACAGACAGAACCUUCCACUACUAACCUACUAGGUCAUGAGCUGCUUAAGUUAAUAGGACACACAAUGACUGAACCUUCAUAGUAGCUAGUCCCCAAUCAAUAUCACAUUAACUGGAUUCAGACUCAUGGGACUGUGUCUUGUUUGUUAUUAACUGGAUUCUUGAUAGUUUUAUCAUUUCAUUUGACUCACCCGAUUUUAAGGUCUCAAAGUAUAAUAGCUGCACCGUUUCUUCUGUUUCGUCUAAACCAGAUCCUACUUUGCUUCAUUUAGUCCUCAGUGUAGGUUUAACUCAUCUAAGGCUUCCUUCUGUAAUUAACAGCUGUUUGUGCUUGUGGAGCUGGUGUCCCCAAUUUUGGAAAGUAUGUACUUAUUAUUUCCAUUCAUAAACUUGCAAUCCUAAAUUUCCAGGUGGGACCAUUAUAAUAGAAAUAUUGUUGUUUCCUUGAUAAUCCAUGUUUGUUGUUGUUCUAUAGCCAAUGAAUGAUAAGAUCAAGCAAGCUAUGGUUGGAUCACUAUCUGGAAUUGUUUUCUCGACACGACUGAAUUUGUUUAUUUUAUUUUCCAAGUGUUCAUUAUUAUCGCACUAAAUACCAGGAAAACACACACCAAAUAACCCAUGUUAACUUGAUUGCUUUUUCAG